rnacentral:rRNA from 1 species
CCUACGGGAGGCAGCAGUGGGGAAUUUUGGACAAUGGGCGCAAGCCUGAUCCAGCAAUGCCGCGUGAGUGAAGAAGGCCUUCGGGUUGUAAAGCUCUUUUGUCAGGGAAGAAACGGAUGAGGCUAAUAUCCUUGUCUAAUGACGGUACCUGAAGAAUAAGCACCGGCUAACUACGUGCCAGCAGCCGCGGUAAUACGUAGGGUGCAAGCGUUAAUCGGAAUUACUGGGCGUAAAGCGUGCGCAGGCGGUUUUGUAAGUUUGUCGUGAAAUCCCCGGGCUCAACCUGGGAAUUGCGAUGAAGACUGCAAGGCUAGAAUCUGGCAGAGGGGGGUAGAAUUCCACGUGUAGCAGUGAAAUGCGUAGAGAUGUGGAGGAACACCGAUGGCGAAGGCAGCCCCCUGGGUCAAGAUUGACGCUCAUGCACGAAAGCGUGGGGAGCAAACAGGAUUAGAUACCCUGGUAGUCCACGCCCUAAACGAUGUCUACUAGUUGUCGGGUUUUAAUUAACUUGGUAACGCAGCUAACGCGUGAAGUAGACCGCUGGGGAUACGGUCGCAAGNUUAAAACCUCAAAGGAAUUGACGGCUGAGACGUGACCGACGGACGACGACGAGGGAGGAGGG